rnacentral:rRNA from 1 species
UGGGGAAUAUUGGACAAUGGGCGAAAGCCUGAUCCAGCAAUGCCGCGUGAGUGAUGAAGGCCUUAGGGUUGUAAAGCCCUUUUACCAGGGAUGAUAAUGACAGUACCUGGAGAAUAAGCUCCGGCUAACUCCGUGCCAGCAGCCGCGGUAAUACGGAGGGAGCUAGCGUUGUUCGGAAUUACUGGGCGUAAAGAGUACGUAGGCGGUGAUUCAAGUCAGAGGUGAAAGCCUGGAGCUCAACUCCAGAACUGCCUUUGAAACUAGAUCGCUAGAAUCAUGGAGAGGUUAGUGGAAUUCCGAGUGUAGAGGUGAAAUUCGUAGAUAUUCGGAAGAACACCAGUGGCGAAGGCGACUAACUGGACAUGUAUUGACGCUGAGGUACGAAAGCGUGGGGAGCAAACAGGAUUAGAUACCCCGGUAGUCCCUG